CUCUAUUUUAAAUGAUCAAAUUCCAACUGUGUUCUUGACUUAUUUUAAAUUUGUAGACAUAAGAAGGAAGAAGGACAUUGUGUGUUAGAAGGUGGAGAAGAAUUUUAGGAAAGAGAAGUAGGAAAGAAGUAGGAAAGAGAAAUUUUAGGAAAGAGAUCAGGAAGUAUAUAAUCCCUUUCUAGUUGAGAGGUAGGAGUGGUCUCAUGUAGUAGUCU
rnacentral:lncRNA from 1 species